CCCUUAGAUGUCCGGGGCUGCACGCGCGCUACACUGAAGGAAUCAGCGUGCUAAAACCAUUGUCGAAAGGCAUUGGUAAACCCAUUAAAAUCCUACGUGAUUGGGAUCGGGAAUUUCAAUUAUUUCCCUUGAACGAGGAAUUCCCAGUAAGUGUGGGUCAUAAGCUCGCGUUGAUUACGUCCCUGCCCUUUGUACACACCGCCCGUCGCUGCCCGGGACUGAGCCGUUUCGAGAAAAGCGGGGACUGCUGCUGUCGGGGCUUUCGGGCCUUGGCUUCGGUGGAAACCGCUUUAAUCGCAGUGGCUUGAACCGGGCAAAAGUCGUAACA
rnacentral:rRNA from 1 species